AAAUUGAGUGUGUAGGUUUAACAAAACAUUAUGUUUUUACAUACCUUUAGGAGCCAAUCCACCAUAAUGUGUACACGUUUUAUAUCUUGAUGGUUAUCUCAGAUCUUCUCAUUCUCAAUAUAAACGAUUUCAUUGUGUUUAGAAAUGACAUUGGAUUGAUUAAGCUGACAGCACCGGUGACGCCGGACACUGGAAUACAGUUUGCCUGCCUUCCCAGUGACAACGAGCAACUGUCAUCGACAAGCACAUGCUACGCCAUCGGCUGGGGCUCCAGAAUAAGUGAUGGCCCGUUAUUAAACUCGGAAGGACAUUCUUGUGGGCGAUGAACUGUACCAUCAAGAUUGUCAUCGCCGUCUUAACACAUACUGGUUCAUUGAUAUUUACAUCAUAAUGGUUCUUGAAAUAUUAACACAAGCUUGUUUAAUCUAAUCUGAAUCAACCUUUUUAGAAGAGUAUUUUGAUCAAGGCAACAGAAAGCUGGUAGCAAUGUAUAUUCUUGUUUAAAACACUCUGAACGUUAUGUAACCACAUUAUGGCGAAAUAACCGUGAAAGAAUUGUGCAUGCUACAUCUAACAUGUGAAAACGACAUAUUUUAUGUGGACAGAACACGAAUUUAUACAGUGGCGGUGUUGUUAACCACAAACUGAUUAUUUUAUCAUGUAAGUACGACUAACAAAAUUUGGUGGGGCGAAAUGAAGUAGGCUGGACAUGACGUCAGAAAUAUAAUCAUAGCAAUAGGUAAAACAUCAUUUUUUACAGUUAAAAUAGUUGCACACUGCUAUAUACAUCGAUUUGUAUGCCAUUAAUUGUAUCCCAUAGGUUUUAUACGCUUCAUGGAUUUACUCAUUUUGCUUCAUGAAAUAAUUUACAAACCAGUGCAUGUACCUAAAACAGCUUAUAUAUGCAGUUUCUGGAUGUAGUAUUUGAAUGAAAAUUUCUAAACAAUGGGUGUUGUGUGGUGUAUUGUAGACGAAGAUACCUGUACCAAAGAGUUCCUCUGACUCGUAUGAAUUGUAAUUGGUCCUCUCUGCACACAUUAAAAGUCUUGGUAGAAUAAUAAACGACUUCCACGACGAUCUUGA